GAUGAAGAACGUAGCGAAAUGCGAUAAGUAAUGUGAAUUGCAGAAUUCAGUGAAUCAUCGAAUCUUUGAACGCAAAUUGCGCCCAUUAGUAUUCUAGUGGGCAUGCCUGUUCGAGCGUCAUUAAGUCCACUUAAGCCCUGCUUAGUGUUGGGAGACUGCUCCAGCGGUGCUACCCUGUAGCUACCCUGCAGCUCCUCAAAGACAGCGGCGGAGUUGUGGUAUCCUCUGAGCUUAGUAACUUGUUCUAGCUUUCGAGUACACCACUUCCCCUGCCGUAAAACCCUUAAUUUUUAAUGGUUGACCUCGGAUCAGGUAGGAAUACCCGCUGAACUUAAGCAUAUCAAUAAGCGGAGGA
rnacentral:misc_RNA from 1 species